rnacentral:rRNA from 1 species
UACAGAGGUCUCAAGCGUUGUUCGGAUUCAUUGGGCGUAAAGGGUGCGUAGGCGGCGCGGUAAGUCGGGUGUGAAAUCUCGGAGCUUAACUCCGAAACUGCAUUCGAUACUGCCGUGCUUGAGGACUGGAGAGGAGACUGGAAUUUACGGUGUAGCGGUGAAAUGCGUAGAUAUCGUAAGGAAGACCAGUGGCGAAGGCGGGUCUCUGGACAGUUCCUGACGCUGAGGCACGAAAGCUAGGGGAGCAAACGGG